AUAAGAAAAGGGUCACAUCUCUACCAUGAUCACGAAGGUGGUUUUCCUGGGGCGAGGCUUAUCCAUCGCACUCUGGAUGUGCUGGUUCCUGUGAUUCCCCCAAAUGUGGGAAACUUGACUGCAUAAUAUGUGGUCGUGGGGGGACUGCAUUCGCGCUGUCCCCUG
ensembl:snRNA U1 U1 spliceosomal RNA